AUUUGAAGUAAUUUGGGAUCAGCUCUAAUAUUUUUUGCUUUAGAAAAGUAGUAAAAAUUAAUUAAUCUACCACUGCACUGAUAGCAAAAGUUAAUAGAAAUUUUAAUAAAAAUACAACCUCAAUAAGCUUCCCUAUUGUUCUAAUAAAUGCAAUAGUAGUUUAGAACUGUAGAUAAAAAAAAUUAAUAAAACAGCUGAGGCUAGGGACCAGGAAGCUCAGACAAAGGGACACAGUCUCUGCCCCGCUUCUCCAGCCACUGAGGUGAGACGAUGCCCUCGACCAGCAGCACCCACUUCAUGCUGUGCAUUGGAAUUUUUCUUGAAUAUUUAACUAAUUCUCCUUGUUUGAUGGCUUAUUUUUAAUCAGAUAUUUUUAUCCAAUAUAAAAAGGUCUUGUGGACAACUCUAAUAUUGAAAUACAGUGACACAUUCACAGAGAAAAUAACUGGGGAGAGGGUUUUAAGAAAACCAGAAGAAAAAAAAAAAAAGAAAACCAGAAGACACACUUGGCUUUGGGCACAGAGAAGAGCAGACGUUCCACAUUCGUGAGGCCCUUGUCUCUGGAUGGCAUUCCCGGAAGCUACGUGUGGUCUGCUGUUCUUCUUUCCAACACUGUGACAGAAACAGAGGAUGCAGGAAACCACUGCUCCUGGAGAAAACAAAUGCAGGCCUCACUUUCAGGGAUGGGAGGUCCCACCAAGUCUCUCCUGGAGGACUUUCCUUGGGUUUGUGGCAGCCUGUUCCUCAAGAUUUCUACUGCUGCCACUCUGGAACUCAUCAUUACUGUACUCAUUAACUUAGAGUUAAUUCAGACUAUCUUGAGUAUUCUUCUUUUUCUCCUGGUGGAUGGAAUAUCACUGACAUCUGACUCUGUAGGAAAGUCACAGGCAGCAGGAAUAUAUAAUUCCUUUAACAAUGCCUUUGUUUAUGCAUUUCUUCACUGCAAUCUUGCCACCCCGGCAGCUAUAAAUCACCAGGCAAGAAUGAGCUGAUGACACCUAGUGGGCCUACGUCAUGAGGAACAAGAGGAAGGAAGCCACGGGUACCCAAGGACCUGCCGCCUCUCCCCUUGCCUCAGUUUCUCUGUGUAUAAAGUAGCCGGAUGGGCUCUGCUGAGAAUUAAUUAACAAAUGUCCAUUAAAUGUUCACAGGGUGAGCGCUCUGCAACUGCUAAGUGGUAUUAAAUAAUUAUAGCCCUCAAAUGAUGAGCCUAUCAUGUCGUUGAUCUGAUGCAUGAAAAUGUUGUUAUAUGUCUUUUCACAAAGACUUUAUUUAACAAGAGCUGAUCUUUGCAAUUUAGUUUAUUUUCUGUAUCCCUUUUAAUUUCAGACUCAU
rnacentral:lncRNA from 12 species